GCAAGACCCAACACAGAGACCAGAUUUCUCGGAGAUUUUGGAUAUUCUGAAGCAACUAACAAAGGAGGUUGGAGAUGAUGGAGAGGACAGACACAAGGACAAAUCAAUCGGUGGCUUUUUCUCGUCUCUUAGAAAGGGCAAUCACUGAGAAUUUACUAAAGAGAGGAGGUUGAUCGGCCUUCAGCUUUUGUCUCGGUGUACAGAUUCUCUGAUAUCCAAACUUG
rnacentral:misc_RNA from 1 species